GUUUUGUACACCAUCUUUCUGCUCAAAGCGACCCUCCCUGGUGUUAUGUGGCCAGCUUUACAGGACACAAGUGGGAAAUGGUGGCUAAGCUAAACCUCUUAGCCCUGAAUUCAGUGGGAGCAAGAGGUGGCAGACUUCUCUCAUUCCCCCCACCCCAACCGGACAACCACGAACUGCCAGUUCCUCCUGGAAAGGGCCCAGUUUCAGCAGAGCACGCGCAGUCCCAGCCUGGCCGCGAAGUCGCCCAGGUAGCGCACCAUGUCGCUGGCAUCGGGG